GGAAGGGUGGCCGAGUGGUUUAAGGCAGCGGCUUGCUAAGCCGUCGUACGUCGUCAAGGCGUACCGAGGGUUCGAAUCCCUCCUCUUCCG
rnacentral:tRNA from 1 species